UGACGGGAGGAGCAGUGCGAAUCUUCCACAAUGGACGCAAGUCUGAUGGAGACAACGCCGCGUGAGUGAAGAAGUGUCUUCGGAUCGUAAAACUCUGUUGUUAGAGAAGAACACGAGUGAGAGUAACUGUUCAUUCGAUGACGGUAUCUAACCAGCAAGUCACGGCUAACUAC
rnacentral:rRNA from 1 species